GCCGGGCACAGUGGCGCGUGCCUGUAGUCCCAGCUACUCAGGAGGCUGAGGUGGGAGGAUUGCUCGAGCCCAGGAGUUCUGGGCUGCAGUGCGCUAUGCCGAUCGGGUGCCCACACACUAAGUUCGGCAUCAAUAUGGUGACCUCCCGGGAGCAGGAGACCACCAGGUUGCCUAAGGAGGGGUGAACCGGCCCAGGUCGGAAACACAGCAGGUCAAAACUCCCGUGCUGAUCAGUAGUGGGAUCACGCCUGUGAAUAGCCACUGCACUCCAGCCUGGGCAACAUAGCGAGACCCCGUCUCCU
rnacentral:SRP_RNA from 1 species